rnacentral:rRNA from 1 species
UGUACGCAAGUCAUUGGGUGAAUAAAACCCAAAGGCGAAAUAAAAGUAAAGAGUUGAGUUUAUAAAGAAUAAGAUUUCUUUUUCUUUAUAACUCUCUUGAGGGAAGAUGAAAAUUUAAUUAAUAAUAUAUUUUUUAUAUAUUGUUAAUAUAAAUUUUUCGCAUUCCCAGGGCGCUUGUUUCACGCUKUGCGUGUCAAUGCGCACCUAGAGCGUACACGCUGAUACCCGAAAGAUGGUGAACUAUGCCUGGCCAGGACGAAGCCAGGGGAAACCCUGGUGGAGGUCCSCAGCGAUUCUGACGUGCAAAUCGAUCGUCGGAGCUGGGUAUAGGGGCGAAAGACCAAUCGAACCAUCUAGUAGCUGGUUCCCUCUGAAGUUUCCCUCAGGAUAGCUUGCGCUCGGUUGAGAAGAGUCUCAUCCGGUAGAGCGAAUGAUUAGAGGCAUUGGGGUCGAAACGACCUCAACCCUAUUCUCAAACUCCAAAUAGAUGAGACCCCCGGCUUUCUUAAAAUUGAAGCCGUGGGAAUAGGAUCAGAGUGCCAAGUGGGCCAAUUUUGGU